rnacentral:lncRNA from 1 species
AUUCUCUUGCAUUCCACCCGGGGAACAAGACAGCACCGGGUUUCACACUGGCAAGGCAGGAGGCUGUGUGCUGCCAGAACGACCAGCAGGGGGCGCAAAGGCCACGCCAGGCACCUGCUGGCCUCAGAGAAAACAGAAAGGGAACCAGGAAGCCCACUCCUGCUGUCCUUUCUCUGCAAGGAAAUGUGCCAGGGCACUGCAGCCCAGACAGUCGGCAGUAGAGGACCCAUGAAGUAUCUUUGUGCAAAGAAAGCAGCAAAGAGAAUUAAGAGAAUUGCAUCAUAUAAAGAGUGAAUUAAACCAUCUAAAGGAGCAAAAAUUCAUCAUCACAUGGACAAGAAAUUAAGACGUAACAUCCAUCUCACUAUUUGCAAAGUGGCUUAUUCCUACAGACAAUGCAGAUAUGUAAAAAGCAGCUGGAAACCUAGGAGCAGAAGCCCAGCAUAAAGAUCUCUGAAAGCCUGGAUGCGUGGAUUCCUCUCUUACUUCCCAAAACGGUGGGGUGGAAAUGUGAAUAUCAGCAUGAUGCACAGAUCUCUGCAGAUGUCCAGCGAACUGAAUUUCUAGACGCUAUAAUCUAUGUUCUUUCCCAACCCCCACUUCAGUUUACAUAUCGCAGGCCAUAGAUCCUGUUUGUUGAAAAGCGAUCAGCUAGAAAACAAGAGUGGUUAUAACCUGUGCUGCCCAGUGAUCAGGAAAAGAGAGCGGAUGAAACUUCCAUGACUUUCUGUUAGUCUGAUUAAUAUCCAUGCCAAAUGUAAGAUUAGUUAAAAGGCCUUAUUGCUUCCCACCAAAAUGUUCCUUCACUAGCUAUAUACUACACUGAAAUGUAAAGUUAUGGGUAUGUUUAACAGUUUAAUUUGUCAGUGGGCAUCCAACUCUUCUAUUUGUGUUUUUACUUUGAGCUUAAUUGGAGCAGACAAAUAGAGGUGACCUCUAACUGUUUUCUUCCUGAAGCCAUUUUCAGGGCAGAAGUGCUUUACCCACUUCAUUGAGAAACCACCUUUGCAUGCAGUACCCUGAGCUGUCUUCAGCACACCAAGCAUCCACAACAUGGGAAAUACCGUGCUUUAAAUGUUGCUUUAAUCACAGUGCUCAUGAGUAAGGGCAUGUCCUGUCUCUUAUCCAUGAAAACACUCCCACAAAAUGAAGUCACACCCAGUAUCUGUUAACGGAGAUACUGAGUGGGUGAAGAAGACUCAUUCCCUAAUGCAAUUCAGGUCACACAGGGUAAAAAAGAAAAAAAAAUCCUUUUCUGUUGAGGAUACAGAUGGAGAGAAAAUGGAAAAUGCCUUUCAGGAAGCACAAGCCUAGUUUUCUAAUUGUGUUUCAGUGAACACGCAGGUGAACUUACCUGUGUGGCUUGGUAUUGUGGUGGGUUUUCAGCUUCUUCUCCACCAAAUCCUUUGAAAAGCAGCAGUGGCAGAAACAAAUAACCCAAUUAAAAACAAUAAUAGCAACAAUAAAAAAAGAAAAGAUGCAGCUGGAAACCUAGGAGCAGAAGCCCAGCAUAAAGAUCUCUGAAAGCCUGGAUGCGUGGAUUCCUCUCUUACUUCCCAAAACGGUGGGGUGGAAAUGUGAAUAUCAGCAUGAUGCACAGAUCUCUGCAGAUGUCCAGCGAACUGAAUUUCUAGACGCUAUAAUCUAUGUUCUUUCCCAACCCCCACUUCAGUUUACAUAUCGCAGGCCAUAGAUCCUGUUUGUUGAAAAGCGAUCAGCUAGAAAACAAGAGUGGUUAUAACCUGUGCUGCCCAGUGAUCAGGAAAAGAGAGCGGAUGAAACUUCCAUGACUUUCUGUUAGUCUGAUUAAUAUCCAUGCCAAAUGUAAGAUUAGUUAAAAGGCCUUAUUGCUUCCCACCAAAAUGUUCCUUCACUAGCUAUAUACUACACUGAAAUGUAAAGUUAUGGGUAUGUUUAACAGUUUAAUUUGUCAGUGGGCAUCCAACUCUUCUAUUUGUGUUUUUACUUUGAGCUUAAUUGGAGCAGACAAAUAGAGGUGACCUCUAACUGUUUUCUUCCUGAAGCCAUUUUCAGGGCAGAAGUGCUUUACCCACUUCAUUGAGAAACCACCUUUGCAUGCAGUACCCUGAGCUGUCUUCAGCACACCAAGCAUCCACAACAUGGGAAAUACCGUGCUUUAAAUGUUGCUUUAAUCACAGUGCUCAUGAGUAAGGGCAUGUCCUGUCUCUUAUCCAUGAAAACACUCCCACAAAAUGAAGUCACACCCAGUAUCUGUUAACGGAGAUACUGAGUGGGUGAAGAAGACUCAUUCCCUAAUGCAAUUCAGGUCACACAGGGUAAAAAAGAAAAAAAAAUCCUUUUCUGUUGAGGAUACAGAUGGAGAGAAAAUGGAAAAUGCCUUUCAGGAAGCACAAGCCUAGUUUUCUAAUUGUGUUUCAGUGAACACGCAGGUGAACUUACCUGUGUGGCUUGGUAUUGUGGUGGGUUUUCAGCUUCUUCUCCACCAAAUCCUUUGAAAAGCAGCAGUGGCAGAAACAAAUAACCCAAUUAAAAACAAUAAUAGCAACAAUAAAAAAAGAAAAGAUGAAGAAA